rnacentral:snRNA from 1 species
GUGUUUGCUUCAGCAGCACAUAUACUAAAAUUACAGCGAAGAUUAGCAUGGCACCUGCAUGACACGCAAAUUCGUGAAGGGUUCCACAUUUUC